UACGUAGGGUGCGAGCGUUGUCCGGAAUUACUGGGCGUAAAGAGCUCGUAGGCGGUUUGUCGCGUCGUCUGUGAAAUUCUGCAACUCAAUUGUAGGCGUGCAGGCGAUACGGGCAGACUUGAGUACUACAGGGGAGACUGGAAUUCCUGGUGUAGCGGUGAAAUGCGCAGAUAUCAGGAGGAACACCGGUGGCGAAGGCGGGUCUCUGGGUAGUAACUGACGCUGAGGAGCGAAAGCGUGGGUAGCGAACAUG
rnacentral:rRNA from 1 species